AAGAAACUGGGAAAACAGGUUAGAGAGUGAUGCCUUGAAUUUUUCCUUCAUAGAUACGCUACUUUUCUGUUCAGGGAAGACUUCUCUGGUGAGAUAAGGAGAAGGCAGAGGUGUGAACGAAGGUGAGAAGUGGGCUGUCAGACAUCUCCACGAAGGAGCUUUCCAGAUGGAGGGAGCAGGAGGGAUGGAGGCAGAAGCGCCCUCGGUCUGUUUGAGGAAUAGAAGAGACGAAACAGGAAAGAACCCCAUUUGCAAGUCUCCAAAGGAAUUGCAUCUGCUAAUACCCUGGCCAAAGGAAGCCUCACAGACAACCUCGAAUCAAAGGCGUUUGGGCUUUUGGGUGGACUUCUGGAGAUCCGUGAGCGCACAGGAACGAGUGGGACCGGCCUGCAGUCUUCGAUCUUUCACCGCCGGUUUGCUCCGAUAGUAAGACUAUACUGCUCCUGGGGCACCUGAUGCUGAGAUCAAGCCCCACUUGGGCUCUGCACUCAGCUCAGAGUGGAGUCUGCCUGCCCCUCUCCCUCCCCCC
rnacentral:lncRNA from 1 species